CGCGUAGGCGGCCCCUCAAGUCAGGCGUGAAAGCCCCGGGCUCAACCUGGGAGGUGCGCUUGGGACUGAGGGGCUGGAGUUCGGGAGAGGAGCGUGGAAUUCCCAGUGUAGAGGUGAAAUUCGUAGAUAUUGGGAAGAACACCAGUGGCGAAGGCGGCGCUCUGGACCGAGACUGACGCUGAGGCGCGAAAGCGUGGGGAGCAAACA
rnacentral:rRNA from 1 species